rnacentral:lncRNA from 1 species
AGAAUACAGAUAUGGCGUAGCUGUUAAGUUAGGGGAAGAAAAGCAGAAAAGUACCCGCUUUGAAGCGCGCCCCCCACCCCAUGAAAUCGAAUCUGAGUGGAACAGAGGAGAGGCAUAGGCAUAGGUUAAACGACUAGAAAUCAGGCGCAGGGUAAAGUUCAGGGAAGAAUUAGGACUGGCAAAGAAGGGUACCGCGGUGACUCAAAUCUGUAUAGACAAACUCCAUAAGCGGUCUACCUAAGUAUUGUUCUAGAAGCCGAAUGAAUGUAAGCGGUGUUUGGUUACUGUUUCUAUACAUGUAAUAAACAUUAUUGUUAGCUUGUCUGCUUUAAGAUCUUUUCUCUCUGAUAACUCUUGCAUUGCAUCCAAUCUUUUAUCAAUGUCUACGAGCAGCCGAUAAAAGUAUUCAGUGUCAUUUGUACUUGCCUAGUCGCUUGGCGGGUGCGAAAGAAGCUCUGUGUCAGUAGAGUGAAAAGGAAAGUCAAUAAGUGAGGGUGCAAGUAAAGUCAAUGAGAUCAGUAGAUGAUACAGAAUAAGAAGAAGCUCCUACUUUUCCUUAGUCCUAUCCGGAGUCUCCGACUUCCCUAUAUAACUAGUAAUCAAUAACUUCGAAAGGGAGUUGACCUGACAGCCUCUGAUCCUCUUUAUGACCUUUUCUAUAUCCUUUUCCAUAUGGGCUAUAUCUUUUGUUCUUAUUGAAAUUCUUAUUCCGACUUACUCUUACUAAAUUACCCAUUUUAUUGAAUCUCUCCCGAGCGCAUAUCUGAUAGGAAUGGAAUGGAAAGCUAAAAGAAGUAAUAAUCUCUUGCUAAUCUCUCUUGCACCGAGUCACCCAGGUUGCCAAUACAUUAAUGAACGGGGCUGUAAACCCUUAUUUUGAGUCUCGGGAAACUCCUUUUAUAGAAAAGAAUCCCAUCAAACCCUUUGAAAAGUACUCGAAAGGCUCUUGAAAUGCCUUUUGUAGCCUAUAAUCUGAACCCAUUUUUACUUGACUGUACGUACCUUGCUUAUUCUGCUUCAAAUCCUUGCCUUUCGUCGUAGUUGCUAAGAUUAGCAGAAGUCCUUUGGCUACCCGAGAAAUUGAGCAUCUCUUGCGAUCAGGGCAGGGGCUGUCAGGUCCACUUGGAUUAGCACGACGUCUUGUUGGAACAAUCACCUUGACUUUACCUCUAGAGUCGCCAACAACGAGAUACUUUCCUGCUCGAGCAUCUUCUCCGGAUCCUGUUUGAGAUCUUUCUUCUGCUGUUGGUGUUCAGCUAACCAAUUUCAUCUACUGUGCGCAGAUAGGAAGAUUGCUUUGUUUGUACAUGAGGAUUGCCCGAAGAAGUAAGCUAUAGCACCCCGACAAUAAGCUGACUUUCGCCUCGCCUAAGCUUGUUUACUUGAUUGACUCUAAAGAAAAGAGUUGAGCUAAUCAGUCGUAGAUAAGCCCUUAGUUGAUUCUGUAUUCUUUGUCAGUGAUAUGAAAUUAUGACUUUAGAGCACCCGUAUAUAUGUUUUUAAUAUUACCCACAUUGCUGCAGACUUUAGAUUUGAUGAGGCCUCGGAACUUGACUAUCUUCUUGCCUCGACCUCGACGUGUUGUUGAACUGCCAACACCAACUGAUUCCACAAGAAACAACUACCCUAUUGCUAGAGAAAGAAGUAGAAUCGAUUGUUGCAGACAGAAGAAGAGAGCUGACUGAGAAGAAGAGAGCUGACUGGUAGUGAGAAGAGAGUUGACCGAG